CCACCUGCAAACGCAGCGUUU
rnacentral:snRNA from 1 species